GUUUCAACUGGAGGAACGGGGUUAUUUGUAAGUGCUUUUCCAGUUUUAGGGUCAACGGGUAUCGGCUUACUAUUCUGACUUUGAACAAUCGCCAUUGCUUGAUGUCCAGAUAAAAAGUCUGGAUGAACAGUGUUUAUAUAAGAACCUUCCAUGGCAACCAUAUCCAUUACAAGGGUAUUAGUGGGUUGCAUACAUUUUCUAAAGAAACCAAUAACAACCUUGUAAAAUUCAUCUUUCAAAAGAGGAUAACGUUUAAAUAUGGGACGUUGAAGCAAUUGAUUUAAAAUACGGAC